UUCUUUCCCCCCUCAGAGUGGGAGGAGAGGGGUAGAGGCAGAGGCAGGGGGAGGAACGUCCCAGCAUCCUCCUCCUCUGUUACCCAGGCGACGGCACCGGGCGCCACCGGCGGGCGCGUGCUGAAGCAGCAGUCGUGGCCCCCGCAGUCCGCCGUAGAGGAGCAGGGAGGAGCCAAGGCCAGCAGGACGUCUGUGAGCUCGAUAGAAUCUGCUUUCGGUGUGACGGAGGAGGAGCGUCUGGCCAAAGAAGAGGAGGAGAGGAACGUGGCGUUGGUGGAGAUCCAGCUCAGAGAUGAACGCAGCUUCCCCGCCCUCGGGAUGCAGAGUGAUGGAGGGAGGAGGAAGGGAUCAGACAAGAGAAGGGUCCAGAGAAACAAGACGAAGAGUCCAGUCGAAGACGUCAGAGCACCAUCUCCCUCUGCUGGCGAAAGACCCAAAUCCUCCACCCCGCCCCCACUUGCAUCAUCCUCCUCUGCUGCUGCUGCACCUUCUACAAAUACUACACCACCCAGCAAACCCGCCCUUCCUGCUGCAAAACCUCCCGCUGCUCCGUCCGCAAAACCAGACUCCAACACUCCUUCUUGGCUGAGCUCGAUCAAGGCUUCAACGACUCCCAACCUAAACAUGGCCGCCGCGGCGUCUAGCUCCACCUCCAGCCUCCCUGUCACCCGUGCUGCCACGAAAACAAACGCACCCUCUGACGCUUUAACGCAGCUCUCUCUUCCUGCUGCUCCGAGCACCAAACCUGCCGUAACGGGCGGGGCUGUGCCUCCCUCCAUCCUGUCCUCUGCCACUGUGUUCUCCUUCCUCACCCCUGCUCUCCCUUCUGCUUCCUCACCCCCGACUCCCCACGCUCCGUCCUCCUCUUCUCUCCCCUCUCCUCCUCCUCCGGAAUCGUCCGCCUCACCUCCUCCUCAUUUCUCUUCAUCUUCUUUUUCAGCACUUCCUCCCACUUUCAUCGCUCCCAUUGCCCCCUCUCCCUCCGUCGCCACGGCACACGGCUUCCUCCCUCCCUCCUCGCUCCCCCGUUCCUCCCCGCCCGUCUCCUCUCUCCCCCACUCCCCCAGUCCUCCCCCCUCCCCUCCUCGUCUUCUCUUACCCAUCAUGCUGCUCAAGUUCACGCGGCUCCACCAGCUUCAGCCCAGA
rnacentral:lncRNA from 1 species